rnacentral:rRNA from 1 species
GCAGUCGACGGUAGCAGGAAGAAGCUUGCUUUCUUUGCUGACGAGUGUCGGACGGGUGAGUAAUGCUUGGGAAUCUGGCUUAUGGAGGGGGAUAACUGUGGGAAACUGCAGCUAAUACCGCGUAUUCUCUGAGGAGGAAAGGGUGGGACCUUAGGGCCACCUGCCAUAAGAUGAGCCCAAGUGGGAUUAGGUAGUUGGUGGGGUAAAGGCCUACCAAGCCUGCGAUCUCUAGCUGGUCUGAGAGGAUGACCAGCCACACUGGAACUGAGACACGGUCCAGACUCCUACGGGAGGCAGCAGUGGGGAAUAUUGCGCAAUGGGGGGAACCCUGACGCAGCCAUGCCGCGUGAAUGAAGAAGGCCUUCGGGUUGUAAAGUUCUUUCGGUAAUGAGGAAGGGAUGUUAUUAAAUAGAUAGCAUCAUUGACGUUAAUUACAGAAGAAGCACCGGCUAACUCCGUGCCAGCAGCCGCGGUAAUACGGAGGGUGCGAGCGUUAAUCGGAAUAACUGGGCGUAAAGGGCACGCAGGCGGACUUUUAAGUGAGAUGUGAAAUCCCCGAGCUUAACUUGGGAACUGCAUUUCAGACUGGGAGUCUAGAGUACUUUAGGGAGGGGUAGAAUUCCACGUGU